ACCAAUUCCGGAGGAUUGAUAAUUGUUCCUCACGGUGUAAUGGCUCGGACGCCAAAUAGAUAUACGUGGUGAUCCUGAUAAAUGGUCCCUCAAUGCCAUUUCAUCCUGGAAACGCCUCGAACAUCU